rnacentral:rRNA from 1 species
AACGAACGCUGGCGGCAUGCCUAACACAUGCAAGUCGAACGAGACCUUCGGGUCUAGUGGCGCAAGGGUGCGUAACGCGUGGGAACCUGCCCUUAGGUUCGGAAUAACUCCCCGAAAGGGGUGCUAAUACCGGAUAAUGUCUUCGGACCAAAGAUUUAUCGCCUUUGGAUGGGCCCGCGUUGGAUUAGCUAGUUGGUAGGGUAAAAGCCUACCAAGGCGACGAUCCAUAGCUGGUCUGUGAGGAUGAGCAGCCACACUGGGACUGAGACACGGCCCAGACUCCUACGUGCGGCAGCAGUGGGGAAUAUUGGACAAUGGGCGAAAGCCUGAUCCAGCAAUGCCGCGUGAGUGAUGAAGGCCUUAAGGUUGUAAAGCUCUUUUACCCGGGAUGAUAAUGACAGUACCGGGAGAAUAAGCUCCGGCUAACUCCGUG